rnacentral:rRNA from 1 species
GACGAACGCUGGCGGCGUGCUUAACACAUGCAAGUCGAACGGAAAGGCCCUGCUUUUGUGGGGUGCUCGAGUGGCGAACGGGUGAGUAACACGUGAGUAACCUGCCCUUGACUUUGGGAUAACUUCAGGAAACUGGGGCUAAUACCGGAUAGGAGCUCCUGCUGCAUGGUGGGGGUUGGAAAGUUUCGGCGGUUGGGGAUGGACUCGCGGCUUAUCAGCUUGUUGGUGGGGUAGUGGCUUACCAAGGCUUUGACGGGUAGCCGGCCUGAGAGGGUGACCGGCCACAUUGGGACUGAGAUACGGCCCAGACUCCUACGGGAGGCAGCAGUGGGGAAUAUUGCACAAUGGGCGGAAGCCUGAUGCAGCAACGCCGCGUGCGGGAUGACGGCCUUCGGGUUGUAAACCGCUUUCGCCUGUGACGAAGCGUGAGUGACAGUAACGGGUAAAGAAGCACCGGCUAACUACGUG